rnacentral:rRNA from 1 species
GGCUUUUUGUAAAAAUUUUAAGGUUUAGCCUGCUCGCUGAUAUUUUAAAGGGCCGCGGUAUUUUGACCGUGCUAAGGUAGCAUAAUCMUUAGUUUCUUAAUUAGAAGCUGGAAUGAAUGGUUGGAUAAAAAAAAAACUGUUUCUAGUUAAUUUAUAAUGAAUUUUAUUUUUAAGUUAAAAAGCUUAAAUAACGUUAAAAGACGAGAAGACCCUAUAGAGUUUAAUAUUAUUAUUAUUUAAAAAUUUUAUGAUUAUUAUUUUUUGAUUGAUGAUAUUAUUUAAUUGGGGUGAUUGAAAAAUUAAAAGAACUUUUUUUUUAUUAAACAUUAAUUUAUGAAUAUUUGAUCCAUUAUUUAUGAUUAUAAGAUUAAAUUACCUUAGGGAUAACAGCGUAAUUUUAUUGGAGAGUUCUUAUCGAUAGUAAAGUUUGCGACCUCGAUGUUGGAUUAAAGUUAAUAUUUGGGGUAAAGGCUAAAAUAUUAGGUCUGUUCAACCUUUAAAACUUUACAUGA